rnacentral:rRNA from 1 species
UACGAAGGGGGCUAGCGUUGUUCGGAAUCACUGGGCGUAAAGCGCACGUAGGCGGAUGAUUAAGUCAGGGGUGAAAUGCCAAGGCUCAACCUUGGAACUGCCUUUGAUACUGGCCAUCUGAAGUCCGGGAGAGGUGAGUGGAACUGCGAGUGUAGAGGUGAAAUUCGUAGAUAUUCGCAAGAACACCAGUGGCGAAGGCGGCUCACCUGGCCCGGUACUGACGCUGAGGUGCGAAAGCGUGGGGAGCAAACAGG